UCUUGUAUAUUUCCAAACACAGAGACACCUGACACAUAUAUUGCACUUUUUGUGUGCAAAUAGUAUGGUGGGGCUCCUUGGUGACAGUAGAACACUGCGGGAGAUUGUGCAUACAUAUACACAAACA
ensembl:ncRNA Y65A5A.25 ncRNA